UACAGAGGUCUCAAGCGUUGUUCGGAAUCACUGGGCGUAAAGGGUGCGUAGGCGGCUUGGUAAGUUGGGUGUGAAAGCCCCGGGCUCAGCCCGGGAAGGGCACUCGAAACUGCCGAGCUGGAGUGCCGGAGGGGAGAGUGGAAUUCCUGGUGUAGCGGUGAAAUGCGUAGAUAUCAGGAGGAAUACCGGUGGCGAAAGCGACUCUCUGGACGGCAACUGACGCUGAGGCACGAAAGCGUGGGGAGCAAACAGG
rnacentral:rRNA from 1 species